rnacentral:rRNA from 1 species
UACAGAGGGUGCGAGCGUUAAUCGGAAUUACUGGGCGUAAAGCGCGCGUAGGCGGCUUUGCAAGUCGGGGUGUGAAAUCCCCAGGCUUAACCUGGGAACUGCAUUCGAGACUGCAUUGCUAGAGUAUGGGAGAGGGAAGUGGAAUUUCCGGUGUAGCGGUGAAAUGCGUAGAUAUCGGAAGGAACAUCAGUGGCGAAAGCGACUCCUGGACCAAUACUGACGCUCAUGUGCGAAAGCGUGGGGAGCAAACAGG